rnacentral:tRNA from 1 species
GUUUUAAUAGUUUAAACAAAACGCUGGUCUUGUAAACCAGAAUUGAAGAUUUUUCCUUCUUAAAGCA